rnacentral:rRNA from 1 species
UACGUAGGGUGCAAGCGUUAAUCGGAAUCACUGGGCGUAAAGCGUGCGCAGGCGGUUUUGUAAGUCUGUCGUGAAAUCCCCGGGCUCAACCUGGGAAUUGCGAUGGAGACUGCAAGGCUAGAAUCUGGCAGAGGGGGGUAGAAUUCCACGUGUAGCAGUGAAAUGCGUAGAGAUGUGGAGGAACACCGAUGGCGAAGGCAGCCCCCUGGGUCAAGAUUGACGCUCAUGCACGAAAGCGUGGGGAGCAAACAGG